rnacentral:siRNA from 1 species
CGGACUCACGUUGUGAUUGGU